AAACCAACAGAAGAAUAUUGCUUGUAAGUUAAUGAUCUUGUAUGG
rnacentral:guide_RNA from 1 species